CUCUCCGUCCAGCAGCCUCCUGUACUCAGCGAUCUCCAUCUCCAGGCGUGUCUUGAUGUCCAGCAGCAUCUUGUACUCCUGGCCCUGGCGUUCCAUGUCGCUGCGGAGAGACACUAGCUGCUCCUCCAGACUGGUCACUUGGUUCUGGAGGCGUCCCAACUGCAUGGAGUAACGGCCCUCCGUCUCCGCCAGCGUGUUCUCCAGGGAGCCUUUCUAUUGGCCGAGAGGGAUAGAGAUGAUGGGUCAAAAACUGUGGGAGUUGGUUUUGAAUUUGGUCUUGAAUGUUUACAGUCAUACUGAAAAGUUAGCUCUAGUAAUUGAAUGUGUAGGCAGGUAGAGAUUAGCUAUAGUAAUGGAGUGGUGCCUGGCUAUAGCAACCUGAGGGACAGUAUUAGAGACCAGGUGAAAGUGAGAUUCUUGAGGGAUGGUAGAGAAUGAUGAAAGAGUCAAAUGAUGAUUAUUGAAGAAAGUUGCAGAAGGUUGUGUAAGUAAUGUCCCCGAAGCUGUGGUCCUUGGUCAGAUGUUUGUAAUUAUG